AAGGGCACCACAAGAACGCGUGGAGCAUGUGGCUUAAUUUGACUCAACGCGGGAAAUCUUACCGGGUCCGGACACACUGAGGAUUGACAGGCAAUAUUAUAAUUUUUUAAUUGGAAUAAAUUUUUAUUAAUUUAUUUUUUUUAUUUUUUAUAUGUUAAAUAUGCUAGUCCUUUCAUGAUUAUGUGAUAGGUGGUGCAUGGCCGUUCUUAGUUCGUGGAGUGAUCUGUCUGCUUAAUUGCGUUUCACUAUUGGGCUUAUAUAAUUACGUAUGUUGUUAACGCUUUGACCCCUUUCUACGGAUUGUGCGUGUCUUUGUCUCGUUUAACUCAUACAAUUAAGCCCUGAAAGCAACGAACGUGACCGCAACCUCUUGUUGCUCUCAUAUUACCUUAUACUGCAUAAUAUUUGAAUAAUUUAUUUUAUUUUUUUUUAUGUUUAAGAGAGCUUUCUAAACUAGAGGGACCGCUGUUACUUUCUUAAACCAGAGGAAGGUUGCGGCAAUAACAGGUCUGUGAUGCCCUUAGAUGUUCCGGGCUGCACACGUGCUACAAUGAUUAUUGCAGUGAGCAUCUCAUUUUUUACACAUCGCAUGCGCGAGUCCAUUUAUUCAGAUAUCUUUCAUUUACUUUCGGGUGAAUGUAGUGUUUGCUUUAAAUGUGUAUCUCUGCGCGCGAUAAAGCCUGCUUCGAAAGUAAGUGGGUAAUCAAUUAGAAGUAAUGAUUUCCUUUUUUUUUCUGCACACAUAUAUAUGGCACUUAUACCCGGGUAACCUUGUUGUUACUUUUGUGCGUAUACGUGAUAAUCUUUACCGAUUAUACUACCAUAUGUGCAAUUGUCAAUUCAUGGUGGGGACAGACCAUUGUUAAUUGUUGGUCUCGGUCUUAACUAGGAAUGCCUUGUACGGAUCUUUGGUUCAACAAACCAUCCGGAAUACGUCCCUGCCCUUUGUACACACCGCCCGUCGCUCUUACCGAUGGACUUCUCUGUGAGUUUGAGGGACUGGUAAAUUAAAUAAUAUCAUGUAUUUAUACGUGUUUUAUUUGUCACUAUAGAAACUUAAACGAACAGUGGGGUCUAAAGGAAAGAGAAGUCGUAACAAGGCAUCAGUAGGUGAACCUGCAGAAGGAUCA
rnacentral:rRNA from 1 species